AUUAGAGGCGUCGGCUGAUAGGCUUCAGUCCGGUCGUUCCAUGAAAAAUACUGGUAUACGAUUCGACUGUCCUGUUUAUAAAUCUGAACAUCAACCCACAUCAGUUCACAGACUAAUGCCCGCAGAUAUUCGGGUCAUUGCAGCACUUGGCGAUUCUAUAACGGUAUGUA